ensembl:snRNA U6 U6 spliceosomal RNA
GUGUUUGCUUCAGUAGCAUAUUUACUAAAAUGUGAAUGAUACAGAUAAGUUAGCAUGGCCCCUGUGAAAGGAUGACAUAAAAAUUAGUAAAGCAUUCUAAUAAAAA